GUUUAGUGUCGCCACAAGUACCAAUGAAGCUUACAUUGUCAAUGUCACAAAUAGUGAACCCAGCAUAGAGACGUAUGACAUCACAGAAUUUUACGUUUACGUUGCUGACGUCAAUAGGAUUGGGAAACGUGUCACCAAAUACUAACGGCGAGGAAAUAUUCUCAACAUUUGCUGUUCUGCUCGGUUCUCGACGAAGUGAGCGAUCUAACUGGCGCAGAAGAACGACUAGAGCGGGACCGCAGAUUGGAGAUGAGCCGUUAUUUAGCCUAUAGUGACAUAAAUACAGCGUUCAAAGACAACUCGGUGAAAAUUUUCAGCUAUUACAACAAUGUCACAGUUCGUUUCCGGUGGAAAUAACAUAUCAUUCUGGGAAACAUCACACGGUGGAGCGCCCUCUACUAAUCGUCCACAUUCCUUGGAAGCUGAUGAUACAGUGCCACCUGUAAAAGUGAAACAAACGUCACAGUCAAACCUCGUAAAAUCGGCUGCAAACUAAACCAUCAGCAAGAUAUCACGUGAGCUGUGAGAUCGUGGUUUAGUUAACACCACGUGACAUUUGGUGCGCACUGCGCAAGGUUACAUGCGCACUGUGUAAGGUGAAAGUGCUCAAUAGCAAACUCACAACACACAGAUCGAGCAUUUGCCCGGACACAGUCGCACAACGUCAGCCGAUACUAGUAAGUGAUGUCGUCUGCUUACAGAACACAACGCCAGCCGAUACAAAUAUGAGAGAAUCCGUGAACAAUUCAGAUUUAUGUAAUUAUCUCCCUUCUGUCCUCAAAAACUAUAAAGUAUAUUGGUGAAAACCUAGUCUUCGUGGUAAAUUGAGCCGCGGCAAAUAAAGGGAGCUUAUCGUAGUUAUAACGUUAUCGAGAUAAAUGACGUCAAAAGUUUACCAGUACUUCUAAAAAUGGCGACGCCCAUGUUAUAACAUGAUAGCGUGAAGAAGUGGUAUAAAAGAUACUUUCAAGGUGUAGAUGAGCAACAUUCACAUGGACCCGACUCAGUUAUAUCGAUGUAAGACCACGCAUUCAGCAGUUUUCAGCGGAAGAGGACGAAUGCAGGAUAAAUGCUGAUAAUUGUUCCGGACUGUGCCUGACUGACGCUGGAUUUGGUCGUAUUAAACAGUUACACAGGAGAUCUGACGUUGAUACCGUAAACCAGGCAGCGGAAGUGGUAAACCAUUCAUCUCAUAGCAACGAGACUGUCGUAUAUGGCAACAGUGGAAACAUUUCAUUUAGGCUACUUUUAAAAAAUCACAAUGUUUCCAAAUACCUGUAUCGCAGAUUCCGAUUCACGUCUGAUGAACCAGGUGUCAUGUUCGUUAGUGUCUGCAGCAGAUUCCAAGGAAGUAAGAUUUGUAGUUGAAAGACACAUCUUCUUAAAACGCGCCCAUAUGAUGUUCAACCGGAAGUCACUCCCACAGGAUUCGGAGCUAAAUAGUAGCAGUAUCUAUUCAGACAUAUGCAACAACCGUUAUAGAAUUUCUUUAUUUGAAUGUUGAUUCAAACUAUAAUGCUUUGCACUGAACAUAUAAUAGGAUGUAGAGGUGAUAUAUGGAAUUGAUAACGUAGCAGAGGGGCUCCGGAAUCAUUUUUAUGCAAGCACGGCGGCGAUCCAGCGUGCUAUCAAAAUGAAGCAAGCAAUAUUUCCUUCUGUUUUUAUGUCAUGAAAUAAAAAAAAAACUGGUUUAUAAAAAAGCUUUUGAGAAAAAAAAAGACGCGAUUAUUGAUUGCCGAAUUUUGAAGAAAUUUUGUACAUCUUUAUAUUAGAAAAGGAGACACAUUAAGUUCAAAUUCUUUUUAAACAGUUUGACAUGUAAAAUACAGAAGAAAGUUUGAAAGUAAGAAACUACAACUUAGUUUCUGUUAUAUUUGACAUCGAGUUGGUGACGGUCGCCGCUCCUGCACAGAUAUAUCUCACGAGGCAGCACCGGGAUUGUAACACGAAAAGGAUUCUGUGUAGUUUAAAUAUUCAAGUAUAUAUACACUGAAGAACACACAUGCACUAUUUUAUAUUUACAGCGUACACUUGCAUUGUGUUUUAGACGUAUUAUGGAUUUUCUGCAGGUUUAAAAUUGAACACAACUAAAAAUGGUCAAGAUUCGCUUUAUUGAAUAAAUCUUUCGUGGUAAUCAUAAUAAUAAUAUUCAUAAUAUUGUUUCGUUUUUAUGUGCACGAAUUUGUCCAAAAAACAGGAAGUUGAAUAUAGUUGUAAACAUUCUGGUUGAUUCAGAAAAAUAAUGUUUCUACAGCAUUUUGGUCAGUAAUAUUUCUCAACGACGUCGCCAAGACAUUGACGUCAUCACAUCUUGAUGAUAAAUGAGCCGCGCCAUGAGAAAACCAACAUAGUGGCAGUCUGGUCAGGAUCUCUGCUGUUCGCUAACGGUUUCUCUAAUUGCAAUAGGCUUUGAAAGGAAACAGCGUGGAUCCUGACCAGACUGCGCGAACACGCAGGCUGGUCUGGAUCCAUGCUAGUCGCAAAGCCACUAUGAUGGUUUUCUCAUGGCACGGCUCAAAUUGAAUCAUGGAUCAUGUUUUAACUUGAGUGAAAAUUACGGAAAUAUUUGUACGUAUAACAAAUGAACUUCUCUGCAUUGUUGUAAAUUACAUGAUGUGCUGAUCAAGAUGAAACAAAUAUCCGAAAGUGUCAGGUAUAACGAAAAGCCCCCUUUCACCUUGCCGCGGCUCAUUUUAUAUGCAGAAAAUAAGUUUUAUAAGUUUGUCAAGCGACAAAAAUUGGCGUUUAAAAACUGAAUCAUGCAUUUUCACAAUUAAAAUUAUUGCAAAGUAUGAUGAAUAGUGUAUUUUAUUUUGUAAAAUUUUGUAUUCCAUAAAUAUUUUAUAUCGGUCUGAUAUGGUUAAAAACACUAAAUAACUGUUCUUCUUUAUUCUAUAUAAAAUUCACAUAUUUCCAACAGCCGUGCAGCACUCAUUAGGACCCGUUUUUAAUGUCUGUACAUUUGCUUGAAGAAUAUUGUCAAUGCUGAAUAAAAAUAAAAACAAAAGUUUG